rnacentral:lncRNA from 12 species
CAAAUACAGCUUCUCUUCCUUGGUUUCCUUAUAACCAUAAUGAGGGUGUAACUUCAAGGUGUGGCUUUUUAAUUGGGGUAAGUGGAGGUUCUGCUUAUGAGUUAGUUCCUAUUUACCUUUCAGCAUGAUGCGACGUGCCUUUUUGAGUCUUGCAGUGAAAAACAAAUGAUGGUUUCUUUCAGCCUGGGCCUAUAUGAAGAAAAGGUACGAGGGACCAUACGAGGGACCACAUUGUUUUUUAGCAGUUGGAGUGACUUUUGAGAAGCCAGUGAAAACAGAAUAAUUUGAGACCAUCAGUCGACCAAAACACUUUCACUUAGGACUAAUACAUUUGUGAAGCUAUCCUAGCUGUAACCAGGAAACACAGACUGGACACUUCUUCUUUGUCUACUUGUCAUCGUGCCAUACCACACCUUGGAGACACUGUUACAGCUGAGUUCCCCAUGACAUGAUGUUUAUUUGUGUUUCCCACAUAGAGUUGUUCAUUUCUGGAAAAAUUAACACAUUCAUAAAAGUUGUGAGCUGUAAAGACUUGAAUGACCAGAAUGUUAAGUAUUAUUUGAGGGACAUUCUACUACAAAAACACCAAGUGAGUCAUCAUCAGAAGGCCAAGAUUCUAAGAUGAAGCUCUGUCAUUAUUUAACUACAUAAUCUUGGGUAAAUCAGUAGACUGGAGUUCCCUUCACAUCAAUUAUCUCAUCUCUAAGGUAAGUAUAAUCACUUUCCUGCUUACUUUGGAGUUGUAAUAAUCAAAUGUUCACUUUGAAAAUGUUAAGGGUUUAUAUACAACAAGGCAUUAUUAAUAUUCUACAUUAGGAUAUUGGAUAGGAUUGACUGGAAAUAUUUCUCAGUCCGAAGUAGCCACUAGUUUUUGUCUACAUAAGAAAAUGCUUCCCAUUCCCAGAAAGAUACAAAUAUCUACAUUUGGAACCUAAAAGAGACAUGAAAUUAUUUGUUUACAAUAUGGUAGCGUAUAUCUAUAUAUAUGUACUUAGGAAUUAUUUUUAGCAAAUGAGAAAGAAUUGUAACUAAAUGCAAAAGAAAAGUAAAUCAAGAUAUUUACCAAAAUAAAAGAGAAAGAUUAUAUGCUACA